rnacentral:miRNA from 1 species
GAUAGAUGGAUAGAUAGAUGAUAGAUAGAUAGAUAGAUAUAAACAAUAUCUAUCUAUCUAUCAUCUAUCUAUCUAUCUAUCUAUCUAUCCAUCCAUCU